rnacentral:rRNA from 1 species
UACGGGAGGCAGCAGUGGGGAAUAUUGCACAAUGGGCGCAAGCCUGAUGCAGCCAUGCCGCGUGUAUGAAGAAGGCCUUCGGGUUGUAAAGUACUUUCAGUCGUGAGGAAGGUGUUAAGGUUAAUAACCUUAGCAAUUGACGUUAGCGACAGAAGAAGCACCGGCUAACUCCGUGCCAGCAGCCGCGGUAAUACGGAGGGUGCGAGCGUUAAUCGGAAUUACUGGGCGUAAAGGGCACGCAGGCGGUUAAUUAAGUUGGAUGUGAAAUCCCCGGGCUUAACCUGGGAAUGGCAUUCAAGACUGGUUAGCUAGAGUCUUGUAGAGGGGGUAGAAUUCCAUGUGUAGCGGUGAAAUGCGUAGAGAUGUGGAGGAAUACCGGGUGGCGAAGGCGGCCCCUGGGACAAAGGACUGACGCUCAUGUGCGAAAGCGUGGGGAGCGAAACAGGAUUAGAUACC